UUUGAAAAAGAAAAAAAAAAGUAAUAAUCCCGACAGAUUUAUUAUUGAUCUUCAGUUACUAUACCCAAAAUAAUUAGCAGAACCAUUGAAAAAAGGAGGUGAGAACUUUAGUCAUAACUGCAAUCAUCAUCUCUUUCUGACAAGUAAUAUUUAAGAUAAAUGAGGAAACGGGAAAAAACUAAAAAAAUAUUUUACACAAUCGUGCUUGUGACAUUUUACUUCCCCCAAGUGAAGAAAAGAUAUUAGGAAAACAAAUGUCGAGUUUAAUGAUUUUUUUUUGUGAAACGGAAAGUGUAUAAUUAUUUUUAUGUCCAUGUUUUUGAUGAUGUGCUAGGUGGAAUCGAGUAGGAGUAUCGAAGUAUUGAUUGUUAAGAAGCUACUUCACCUGAUGUUACCCCGCUCUAAACUCGGCGCAGCGAUCUUUGGAACAAGCAAUUUAUCUCGCGCUCGUCAAGACUUACUCGAAUUCGGACAACGCUUCCAUCAAUGACCCUAGUCACUUCCAAAUCAGCGUUUCCAAUCUUGUAUUAUUUUUUAAACUAAAAUUUUCUAUUUUUUUUCUCAUUUAGAUUAAUGCGGUUGGUAGAACUUUCGCUAUCCUCCUCAACCAAAUUAGGUCACAGCCUACAGUUCUGUUAAAUGGUCUUAACGGAAGUGUUAACUAUUCCUGGACUCCGCACUGCGUUUUAAUACAGGGAGUAAGAUUACGCUGACAGUUUGCAAUAGUCUUUGUUUUUAGUGAAACUGGACAGUAGCAUGUAGUACAACAGGGCCGAUUUGCACUCCGCCGUUGCAAUACACCAAGUCAUUAGCUGAAAAUGUCAUGCGUCAUAAAUCAUACAAGUCCUUGCUCCCUAAACAGACACCUUAACAGAUUCCUAACUCCACUUGAUGAUUAUAACCCUAUGUAAUAUUCCUGGCAAUCUGUUCCUAUAUAUUCUUUAUCAUUACUUAUCUACUCAUAUCUCAAUGUCAAAGCAUGCAAUGAAGGAUUUACGGGAACGCCGCUGGACUGCUAUGGAUUAGUUCGGUUUCUGGCGUUUCAGUUUCAGAUUAGGUUAUGGAGUUGGUGGUAUGAAGUUGGUAGAAGUUAUUGGGCCAUAUUGGGGCACUAGCUUUGGAUAUAGCCAAGGUUGCAGAGAAAUAUUUAAAAAAUAGCCGACUGCUGUCCUUCAAACGGUUCGAAAUGGAAGAUUUAUUCAUUCACCGAAGAAACGAGUCAAAUGACUCGGAUGUCAAUUGACCCAUCCCCAGCGCCUUCUAC